AGUGGCAGACGGCUGAGUAACGCGUAGGAAACCUGUCCCACAGUGGGGGAUAACCCGCCGAAAGGUGGGCUAAUACCGCAUACGUUCCCGUGGUGAGAGACCGCGGGAGGAAAGCCGCAAGGCGCUGAGGGAGGGGCCUGCGUCCUAUCAGGUAGUUGGUGAGGUAACGGCUUACCAAGCCUACGACGGGUAGCUGGUCUGAGAGGACGACCAGCCAGACGGGGACUGAGACACGGCCCCGACUCCUACGGGAGGCAGCAGCGAGGAAUCUUGGGCAAUGGGCGAAAGCCUGACCCAGCGACGCCGCGUGGGGGAAGAAGGCCUUCGGGUCGUAAACCCCUUUUGCCGGGGAAGAAGAUCUGACGGUACCCGGCGAAUAAGCCACG
rnacentral:rRNA from 1 species